AUUACGUCUUGGCCUUUUGGCUAAGAUCAAGUGUAGUAUCUGUUCUUAUCAGUUUAAUAUAUGAUAUGUCCUCUAUCUGAGCACAGUAUAUUAAAUGGAUUUUUGCAGCAGGGGCGUGGAACAGGAGCUUGCUUUGUCUACUCCAUUCAUCAGCCUGGUAUUGCAGUAAAUCCAGGCAUGAAAAUAAAAAG